GUGCCCAUAGCUCAGCUGGAUAGAGUACCAGAUUGCGGAUCUGGUGGUCGGAGGUUCGAAUCCUCUUGGGCACG
rnacentral:tRNA from 1 species